rnacentral:rRNA from 1 species
AGGACGAACGCUGGCGGCGUGCCUAACACAUGCAAGUCGAACGAGGUCCAUGCAGUGGCAACACUGCGGAAGACCUAGUGGCGAACGGGUGAGUAACACGUGAGGAACUUGCCCCGGAGACCGGGAUAACCCUCCGAAAGGAGAGCUAAUACCGGAUGUACUCACCGAGCCGCAUGGCUUGGUGAGGAAAUGGAUUCCGCUCCGGGAGAGCCUCGCGGCCUAUCAGCUAGUUGGUGGGGUAACGGCCCACCAAGGCAUCGACGGGUAGCUGGUCUGAGAGGACGAUCAGCCACACUGGGACUGAGACACGGCCCAGACUCCGUACGGGA